GACGAACGCUGGCGGCGUGCUUAACACAUGCAAGUCGAACGGAAAGGCCCUGCUUUUGUGGGUUGCUCGUGUGGCGAACGGGUGAGUAACACGUGAGUAACCUGCCCUUGACUUUGGGAUAACUUCAGGAAACUGGGGCUAAUACCCGAUAGGAGCUCCUGCUCCAUGGUGGGGGUUGGAAAGUUUCGGCGGUUGGGGAUGGACUGGCGGCUUAUCAGCUUGUUGGUGGGGUAGUGGCUUACCACGGCUUUGACGGGUAGCCGGCCUGGGAGGGUGACCGGGCACAUUGGGACUGAGAGACGGCCCAGACGCCUACGGGAGGCAGCAGUGGAGAGUAUGGCACAAUGGGCGGAAGCCUGAUGCAGCGACGCCGCGUGCGGGAUGACGGCCUUCGGGUGGUAAACCGCUUUCGCCUGUGACGAAGCGUGAGUGACGGUAAUGGGUAAAGAAGCACCGGCUAACUACGUG
rnacentral:rRNA from 1 species